GGUGGGGGGAGGGGGUGAUUGAACGCACAGCUUGGGUUAGUCUUGUAGGUAUCGAAGAUGUUAACGAGGUUGGUGCGAAAGAUUGAACCCAUCGCAACUUGACUGGCGGUAAAACCCCAACCGGCGUCGACUAAUACGAGUCGGAUCCCCAUCCUCCAUGCUCCCAUCAUGAGACCAAAGGGGACGGCCCCUCAGCCACUGCAUGGCCUCGCGUCACUUAUUCUCGGGGUUGUGGAUAUACCCAUGCGGCCGAGCUUUAGCCGACGUCAGCUUGAACGGCGACCUUGUCUGCCUUUGCCGGUAUAUGCACAAGCACAGAGUCCUUCGUCGGCGAACGCUGCUAGAGGGCGCCGGCACCGGCCACGGGGUCCCUAGACCGCAAUCCAUGGUUACAUCACUUCUUGCCACAAGGGGUCAUCGUUUUCAAAGGAAUGGGGCUGAGUGUAUAUUGAGUCUUGGAUCUGCUGUGCCUCGCCGGUUGAAUGAGUCAUUUUUCUAUUAUUUGGCCUGUUUGGAUGUUGCACUGUGUGGUUAUGAAUUUGAUGCUGUGAAGUUCUCUCGAUGUCAUUUUUGGGUUUACAAACAAAUACAAUAAAAUUGCCAAUAAGGGGCUAUAGGAGACUUUGUGAUUUUCCUCAUUUACUGGGUUACUUGAGAUUUAUGGUGUUUUUCGGUUUGAGCUCCUUCUCUGUCGGUUUUCUUCCAGAAAACACGGCGUAUAUGAUAAAUUAUGCAUUAUUCUUUCAUGAAUGUGACCUUAUCUCUUUCCAAUCAUAGCCUUGUUUUGCUACUUUCUGGUGUGUCCUUAUCAUUGGUUAAGAAUCCUGUUUGAUAUUGUGCAGCACGCAUGCUGAAGUGUAUACUUUGCGUUUCGAUGCAGGCGUCCCCGUCGUCUCUCGUUUGGCCCAAAGCCAAGCAACAAUGUUGCACAUGAAAUGAAGGGAUCCUUGCCGCUCCCCCCUUCCAGCUCGAGAAGUUCCUUGCUGUGUGCCCGAAAAAGGCUGACGACAAGCCCUAUCAGAUAAGCAAGUGCCUACUUCCUUGUCGGUUUGGGUAACUCUGGAAGUGGACGACGAGCCACUCGUCUCGGCACCAAGCUGCGAUUCCGUGUGUCUAGGGCCCAACAAUUAACAUAUUCCCAUAGCAAUGAGCGUGGUUAGUAGCAUAUCCGGGAUGCAGUCCGAUAUCAGGAGAUUGUCCGAAGCCAUUCGUCGCCAUGAUGCGGUGGUGUAAGGGAUGUUGUCAACCUUCUAACCCAACAAAAGUCUUCAAUCUGUCGAAGGGAAAGCGACAUCAAUCGGCCCAAAGGGAAUGAGACAACCACGAAACCUAUGAGCAAGAGUUGUCAUGGGAAAAAAAACACGGCCGCCUAAUCCGGCAUCAACUCCCAUAAUCGACACCACCUUCACUGUUGAUCAGAUCCCUUUUUUCACCAAGAGAAACAAGAAGCCCACCCGAAAACUGUUCCCAACUCGAAAAGCGCCACGAUCUAUGCAUGUCCCCGAAGUGUCACGACAUAAUCCUGUUGCACCAUUUUUAAGUGGAUCUAAACUCGGACGACAACCCGGAGAAGACAGCGCGGCACACUAAAUCCAAUAGGGGCUUGGAGACAUCGGGACUAGCUAGACAGCGAGGGCGUGAUGCACCUGCCCUAGAAAAAGAAGGAGUCGUGAACUUAGGCCGGCUACUAAGCAUGAAAGAUGAACGCAUUCCAAAGUCCAUGAACUUCUUCCCGCCAAACAACAAAAUGAAUUUGUCAGGUGUAAAGUUGGCCGUUGCAACUUAUACCUUCGAUAAAGAUCUUCAAGAGAGUGAGCUUCUGAUUGACGUCGGUGACUACAUAGCUUGCAGGGGAGCGCUCAUGACUCUUGCCCCUAAGUGCGAAGUUGUUGAUGACGUCCUAAAUGAUAUGGUUCGCAUGCUAGCAAGUGCAUCAAAUCAUCAUUGUUGGUUCCUGCCUAUGACCAUCAUGCAAGCAGCAGUGGGCGGUCGGAAGCUUACAUCUGCGAACAUGACAUCCAUACGUAACAAAUACAUGCGGUGUAAGGUGGACUAGACAACUCGGGUGUAUCAGCCUAUGUGGUGCGACCAGCACUGGUUCCUGAUGAUCAUCGACAUGCUGCGUAUGAAAUUGAUAUACUUAGAUUCACUUUGAGAUCCGCACGAAGCGGAUGCAAGGAAAAUGGCGAUGUUGCGAGUGCAGGCACUUUACCUGGAGAGAUUGACGUUGGGAAGGUCCUGGCUAUCGAGACUAGGCGUGCUACGUCCUAAGUUUUUCGCGUUCGAGUUUGAGGAGCCCGAAGUGCCUCACCAAGAAUCUGCCUCAUAAGUUCACGCAUUUACGUAUCAAAAUAACUUUCAUGAAUGCUUUUAUAUAGUCAGUGCUGUUUUUGGGUUCUGAACUUGGAACUUACAACACGAAACUGCAUAACCACAAAAAUUUGUGCCAAAACAGUAUGGACUGUGGCAUGUGGGUCACCCACUGGAUGAUUCGAGGGCACCUAUGGCAAGACUACGGGGUACAGAAUGUCAACACGACUACCUGGAUGCGCUUAGCAGUGGACUUGGUCAUGAAGUCACCUAACCACUUGGCACAGCAAGUUGUCUCCAAAGCAUUUGCACACUGGCAACUGAAAGCUGGUUAAGAUUGCUGUGUGUUUCUUUAGAAAUCGUUCCAGUAGUACAUACUUUGUAUAGGUUCACUCAAGGCAAUAUUUUUUUGGUUGAUCCUUAACUGCCCCGGGUCAUACUUAAUGUGCCCAUGGCGGUUACUUUUUUAUUACAAAAGUGUCAAUCGUUAGCCCCUGCCUUUUUUUAUCAUGUAUAUGAUUACUAGUUGAUGGUAUACUGUCUACAUGAGGCCUUUUGAAAGUGUCGGGAUACCUCUAAGAUCAAAUGUGAAACUCUCACAUAGAA